rnacentral:rRNA from 1 species
GUGGGGAAUUUUGGACAAUGGGGGAAACCCUGAUCCAGCCAUGCCGCGUGCGGGAAGAAGGCCUUCGGGUUGUAAACCGCUUUUGUCGGGGACGAAAUCUCUCAAGCUAAUACCUUGAGGGGAUGACGGUACCCGAAGAAUAAGCACCGGCUAACUACGUGCCAGCAGCCGCGGUAAUACGUAGGGUGCAAGCGUUAAUCGGAAUUACUGGGCGUAAAGCGUGCGCAGGCGGCUUUGCAAGACAGGUGUGAAAUCCCCGGGCUUAACCUGGGAACCGCACUUGUGACUGCAAGGCUUGAGUGCGGCAGAGGGGGAUGGAAUUCCGCGUGUAGCAGUGAAAUGCGUAGAUAUGCGGAGGAACACCGAUGGCGAAGGCAAUCCCCUGGGCCUGCACUGACGCUCAGGCACGAAAGCGUGGGGAGCAAACAGGAUUAGAUACCCUUGUAGUCC